rnacentral:lncRNA from 10 species
GAGGGGUAGCUAUGAAAGGAAAAUGUGUGGAGGUGACAUGGUCUGUAGGUUGGGCCAGGCCAGAAGAGAAGGUCAAAGAGAAAUGAGUGUUCCAGUCAGGCUUGAUGUCUUAGGGAAGAUCCUGGGGCCCAGCCCACUGCCCCCUCCUCUCCGUCUCUCCUGCUCCCGGGGCUGAGGGAAUGGAAGGAGCUGUGCCACUGUGAGGAGGAGGACCUGCAUCUGUGAGGGGCCUGCUGGGACCAGCUGCUGGGGAGUACAGCUUUCUCUCAGUAGCUGAAGGGGGCUGCCUCUUUUCCAAGGGGCAGCUGCCACGCCACCGCAGGAAAAUCUGGCUUGCCAUUUUGGAUACCUGGAUUUUCCCACAGUGUGAGGGGGCUGGGGGUGUGGCCCAGGAAGGUGCACCUGAGGUGGGAGAAGAAAGAAGAAGACUGGAUGGGAGUCAGCUGAAUUGGGGGCCGCAGAGGCUGGGGUGAGAGGGAGGGAAGGAGGUGUCAAAGCUCAGCCUCCCAAAGCUGAGCGAGAAGAGCAUGACGGGAGGGUGUUUCCCACCUCCUCGCCCACUCCAGCGCAGGGUCCUGUCUCCGUCCAAACGCUGCAAGCCUUUCCACAUUCCUGCACUACCUUCCUGCGCUGCCUUUGGAGAUCUGAGAGUCUUCAGGCAUGAACUCUGGGAAUUCUGCCACACCAAGUGAACUUCAGCCACCACAUCAAAUCCUGUCACCCUACAACCCUGUGCGCCUUCAGCAGAGGCAGCUUGGAGCCCUAGUGAGAGAAGGCCUUUGGCAGCGGCCAGUCCUGUUUUGAGCCAGGGCUCUGACUCUUAUCAGCCUGAGCUGUGGUUUCUUCAUCUUUUACGUGGACGUGGGUAAACAUAUCAACUCAUUCAUGAAUGGUGAAGACUGUGUACAUAUUUGGUGAAAGUCAUGAUUGCAGUGCCUGGCUCACAGUAAAUGUUCCAUCACUGCUUACCCCCCCCA